AUAUUGAUGAGCUUCAAGCUUUCGCCCCUAUCUGAAAACUAAGAGAAACUUCCAAUGUUGAAUGCGUGAUUGGUCUUACUGAAAUGAAACU
rnacentral:snoRNA from 15 species